CCCAGCACCCCGAGUGGUCGGGACGAUUAUUGGGCCUAAAGCAUCCGUAGCCGGUUUUACAAGUCCUCCGUUAAAUCCAACUGCUUAACAGAUGGGCCGCGGAGGAUACUAUAAGACUAGGAGGCAGGAGAGGCAAGCGGUACUCAGUGGGUAGGGGUAAAAUCCGUUGAUCCAUUGAAGACCACCAGUGGCGAAGGCGGCUUGCCAGAAUGCGCUCGACGGUGAGGGAUGAAAGCUGGGGGAGCAAACCGGAUUAGAUACCCGGGUAGUCCCAGCUGUAAACGAUGCAGACUCGGUAAUGGACUAGCUUUAUGCUAGUCCAGUGCCGCAGGGAAGCCGUUAAGUCUGCCGCCUGGGUAGUACGGUCGCAAGACUG
rnacentral:rRNA from 1 species